rnacentral:rRNA from 1 species
ACUCCUACGGGAGGCAGCAGUGGGGAAUAUUGCACAAUGGGCGCAAGCCUGAUGCAGCCAUGCCGCGUGUAUGAAGAAGGCCUUCGGGUUGUAAAGUACUUUCAGCAGUGAGGAAGGUGUUGUCGUUAAUAGCGGCCUCAUUUGACGUUAGCUGCAGAAGAAGCACCGGCUAACUCCGUGCCAGCAGCCGCGGUAAUACGGAGGGUGCGAGCGUUAAUCGGAAUUACUGGGCGUAAAGCGCAUGCAGGUGGUUUGUUAAGUCAGAUGUGAAAGCCCGGGGCUCAACCUCGGAAUAGCAUUUGAAACUGGCAGACUAGAGUACUGUAGAGGGGGGUAGAAUUUCAGGUGUAGCGGUGAAAUGCGUAGAGAUCUGAAGGAAUACCGGUGGCGAAGGCGGCCCCCUGGACAGAUACUGACACUCAGAUGCGAAAGCGUGGGGAGCAAACAGGAUUAGAUACCCUGGUA